rnacentral:rRNA from 1 species
UACGGGGGGGGCAAGCGUUGUUCGGAAUUACUGGGCGUAAAGGGCUCGUAGGUGGCCAACUAAGUCAGACGUGAAAUCCCUCGGCUUAACCGGGGAACUGCGUCCGAUACUGGAUGGCUUGGAUUUGGGAGAGGGAUGCGGAAUUCCAGGUGUAGCGGUGAAAUGCGUAGAUAUCUGGAGGAACACCGGUGGCGAAGGCGGCAUCCUGGACCGGCAUUGACGCUGAACAGCGAAAGCCAGGGGAGCAAACGGG